rnacentral:rRNA from 1 species
GACCCCCACGGGACGCAGCAGUGGGGAAUAUUGGGCAAUGGGCGCAAGCCUGACCCAGCAACGCCGCGUGAAGGAAGAAGGCUUUCGGGUUGUAAACUUCUUUUGUCAGGGAAGAGUAGAAGACGGUACCUGACGAAUAAGCCACGGCUAACUACGUGCCAGCAGCCGCGGUAAUACGUAGGUGGCAAGCGUUGUCCGGAUUUACUGGGUGUAAAGGGCGUGUAGCCGGGUUGACAAGUCAGAUGUGAAAUCCUGCGGCUUAACCGCAGAACUGCAUUUGAAACUGUUGAUCUUGAGUACUGUAG